rnacentral:rRNA from 1 species
CCCUUAGAUGUUCUGGGCCGCACGCGCGCUACACUGAUGCAUUCAACGAGCCUAUCCUUGACCGACAGGUCCGGGUAAUCUUUGAAUCUGCAUCGUGACGGGGAUAGAUUAUUGCAAUUAUUAAUCUUCAACGAGGAAUGCCUAGUAGGCGCAAGUCAUCAGCUUGCGUCGAUUACGUCCCUGCCCUUUGUACACACCGCCCGUCGCUACUACCGAUUGAAUGGUUUAGUGAGGCCUUCGGAUCCGCGAUUUUAUUGUGGAGAAGUUGGACAAACUCAGUCAUUUAGAGGAAGUAAAAGUCGUAACA